UUCGUCUUUGCUUUUGGUUGGCCGACUAGCAGCGAAAGAAAGCUUCGGAAGAAAGGUAGGAUAAACGCGUGCACCCACGGCGACUGAUCGUCGCGUGUGGAGAAGCAUCAAGGACUCCACACUUUACACGAAACCCCUCGCAGUUCUUCGUCCUCCCAAACCUCCCCCCACACGCCGCUUCCUCCCCACCCUGUCCCCCUCAUCCCCAAUCUCGCGCGACGCCACCAAACCCUAGCUCCCAAAUUCGGUCGACGGGGAGGGGGAGGGAGGGAGGGAGGCCGGAGACGGGCCCCGCUCGCCGGCGCCGAUGGAGGUGAAGCUGUGGAACGACAAGCGCGAGCGGGAGCUCCUGGAGAGCCUGGCCGACCUGUACGCGAUCAUCAAGGCCACGGAGAAGCUGGAGCGCGCCUACGUCCGCGACCUCGUCUCCGCCGCCGACUACGAGGCCGACUGCCUCAAGCUCAUCUCCCAGUUCAACUCCCUAUCCUCCUCCCUCGCCGGGGUCGUCACCAUACCGCGCUUCGUGCAGGCCUACCGCCUCGACUGCCCCGCCGCCCUCAACCGCCUCGUCCAGUCCGGCGUCCCCGCCACCAUCGAGCUCCGCGCCGCCACCGCCUCCUCCUCCGCUCCGCCCGCCACCGCGGCCUCCGCCUCCGCCAUCGCCCAGUGCGUCCAGAGCUUCAUCACCGCCAUGGACGCCCUCAAGCUCAACAUGCUCGCCAACGACCAGGUCCGCCCCCUGCUCCACGACCUCUCCACCUCCAUGGGGAAGCUCGGUACCGUCCUGCCGCCCGACUUCGAGGGGAAGGUCAAGGUGAACGAGUGGCUCGCAAGGCUGCAUAAGAUGGGGGCUGGGGACGAGCUCACAGAUCAGCAGGCCAGACAGCUCAAUUUUGAUCUGGAAUCAGCUUAUAGUGCGUUUAUGGCCUCGCUUCCCACUGCUGGCAUGCCACAACCCCACCCCCCCAUAAAAGGGAAAAAGAGAAAAAAAAAUCUGUCAUUGGAGUUAUUUUACCUGCUUGCCUGUUUAUAUCCUCCUAGCUUUCCCUCAUUUUGUGUCUUUUGUCUUUACACUAUACCCGAUUCCGUGCAUUCUCAGAAGUCAAGAAGCAGAAAAAUACACCCAAAAAAUUGCAAAUCCAUGACAGGGGUGGCACUGGUUGGUUUGCAAUUGGCAGCAUCUCCGAUCCUGAAGAAGCUCCUCACAGAUGCUUCAACAUACCUUGGGGUUGACAUGGCGAGCGAGCUCCAUGAACUGGAGACCACCAUCAUGCCACAGUUUGAGCUGAUGAUUGAAGCAGCUAACAAGGGCCAUCACAGGGUCAAGUUGGACAAAUGGGUCCAGGAGCUCAAAGAAGCCUUCUACAAAGCCGAAGACCUGCUGGACAUGCAUGAGUACGACCUCCUCGAGCGCAAAGCAAAGAGUGGGGGAGAUUCCUCGCCACCCCGUGCCUCAUCAAUCGGCACUAUCUUGAAGCCUCUGCGUACUGCUUCUAACAGGUUAUGUAAUCUCUUCCCAAAGAACAAGAAGCUACUUGACCAGCUGAAUGAACUGAAGGCCAUUCUGGUGAAAGGCAAGGAGUUGCGUGAGCUUCUUUGCAUACCAGCUGGUAAUAGUACAGAGAGCCCCGUUGUUCCUCAGGCCACAUCAUUACCACCUCUGAAAGUAAUAGGUCGUGACAAGGAUCGUGAUAAUAUAAUAGACCUUCUUACCAAGCCAGUUGCUGUUGAGGCUAAUUCAGCUAUAUAUGCGGGUUUGGCCAUUGUUGGAGCAGGAGGUAUGGGAAAAUCCACCUUGGCACAACAUGUUUACAAUAACAAGAGGGUACAAGAACAUUUUGAUGUCAGGAUGUGGGUGUGCAUCUCACGCAAACUCGAUGUCCAUCGUCAUACACGGGAGAUUAUCGAAUCCGCAGCUAAGAAGGAGUGCCCACGUCUUGAUAAUCUGGAUACUCUCCAGUGCCAAUUAAGGGACAUACUGCAGAAGUCAGAGAAAUUCUUGCUUGUAUUGGAUGAUGUUUGGUUUGAUGAUUCGAGUAGUCAGAUGGAAUGGGACCAACUGUUAGCUCCCCUGGUUUCUCAGCACAAGGGAAGUAAAGUUUUGGUAACUUCUCGACGGGAUACAUUUCCUUCUGCUCUUUACUGUGAAAAGGUGCUCCGUUUGGAAAGCAUGGAAGAUACUCAGUUCUUGGCACUCUUCAAAUACUAUGCCUUCACUGGAGCACAAAUUAGAGACACUCUGUUGCUUCAAAGGCUAGAAGCGAUUGCAGAGGAGAUAGCUAAAAGGCUUGGACAGUCUCCUUUGGCUGCAAAAGUUGUUGGUUCCCAGUUGAAAGGGAAAAUGAAUGUCCCUUCCUGGAAAGAUGCUCUGACGUUAAAAAUUGACAAUUUAAGUGAGCCUAGAACAGCUCUGCUGUGGAGUUACCAGAAGUUAGAUCCACGUCUGCAGAGGUGCUUUGUAUAUUGCAGCUUGUUUCCGAAAGGACACAAGUAUAACAUUGAUGAGUUGGUUCACUUGCUGAUAGCAGAGGGGCUUGUUGAUCCAUGCAACCAGGACAGGAGAUUGGUAGAUGUUGGAAAGGAUUACCUGAAUGAGAUGGUUUCUGGGUCUUUCUUGCAACCAUUUUCUGAAAGACCUAUGGACACAUACUACAUUAUGCAUGAUCUUCUUCAUGAUUUGGCAGAAUCGCUCUCUAAAGAAGACUGUUUCAGAUUAGAAGAUGAUGAGAUGUCAGAAAUACCAUGCACCGUCCGUCAUCUCUCUGUUCGAGUUGAGAGUAUGAAACAACAUCAGCGCAGUAUCUCCAAGCUACAUCAUUUGCGCACUGUUAUCUGCAUUGACCCACUUACAGAUGAUGUGAGUGAUGUUUUCCACCAGGUACUGCAAAAUUUGAAGAAGUUACGUGUACUCUAUUUGUGCUUCUACAAUAGUAACAAGCUACCUGAAUCUGUUGGUGAGCUGAAGCACCUUCGGUAUUUAAACCUCAUUAGAACUUCCAUAGCCGAAUUGCCUGGAUCAUUAUGUGUUCUUUACCACCUGCAGUUACUUCUGUUAAACCAUAAAGUUAAGAAUUUGCCUCACAAACUCUGCAAAUUAAGCAAGUUACGGCAUCUUGAAGGGUAUCAUGAUCUGGGAUACAGGAUGUAUGAAGUAGCUCUGCCUCAAAUCCCUUAUGUAGGCAAGCUAACUUUUCUCCAGCAUUAUAAAGAAUUUUGUGUGCAAAAACAGAAGGGGUGUGAGUUGCGGCAGCUCAGAGAUAUGAAAGAGCUUGGUGGCAGUUUAAGAGUCAGAAAUCUCGAGAAUGUCACUGGAAAGGAUGAAGCCUUAGAGGCGAAGCUAUAUCAGAAAAGUCAUAUCGGAAGCUUGAACCUUGUCUGGAGUUGCAAUAAUGGCAUGAAUGCAGAUGAUAGCUUACAGUUGGAGAUUCUAGAAGGCUUGAUGCCACCGCCUCAACUGAAGGGCCUCAAAAUCAAGGGUUACAGAUCUACCGCAUAUCCACGUUGGUUACUUGAGGGUUCGCAUUUUGAGAACUUGGAAUCUUUUAAGCUUGUCAAUUGCAGUGCGUUAGAAGGCCUGCCACUCAAUGCCGAGCUCUUCAGGCAUUGCUCUGAACUGAAGCUCAAGAAUGUCUGCACUCUGAAAACAUUAUCUUAUCUUCCAGCAGCCCUCACACACUUAUCAAUUAGCAGUUGCCCACUGCUUAUGUUUAUUGCCAAUGAUGAGCUAGAACAGCAUGAUCAGAAGGAGAACGUCAUGAGCGCAGACUACUUGGCAUCACAACUUGCUUUGAUAUGGGAGGUGGAUUCUGGAUCGAAAAUUAAGGAAGUAUUAUCGACAGAACAUUCAUCUCUGAAGCAAAUGAUGACAUUAAUGGAUGCUGACAUGUCACAUCUUAAAACCAUCGCAAGUGCUGUAGAAAGAGAUAAUUGCAAUGUAAUGCUGAAAGAUGAUAUCAUUAAGGCGUGGAUAUGCUGCCACGAGCAGAGGAUGAAAUUCAUUUAUGGAAGAAGCAUCGGCUUGUCGUUGGUUCCACCGUCAGGUCUUUGUCGACUUCAUCUUUAUUCGUGCAGUAUUACGGAUGGGGCAUUAGCCGUUUGUCUUGAUGGUCUCACGUCAUUGAGAAGAUUGUCUUUAGAGGAGAUCAUGACUUUAACUACACUUCCGUCGCAAGAGGUCCUCCAAAAUUUGACAAAGCUGGAAUACCUGUUCAUCAAAUGUUGCUGGUGCUUCAAGUCAUUAGGAGGCUUACGUGCUACUACCUCUCUUUCGGAGGUUCGAUUGAUUUCCUGCCCUUCGUUAGACUUGGCACAUGGAGCAGGUGUAUUGCCGUUGUCUCUUGAGGAGCUCUGUAUACACCAUUGCAUGGUUCCUGAUAAUUUCUUCAGUGGUGAUUUGCCGUGCCUGAAAAGACUUAGUAUGUUUGGCUGCAGAAGCUCCACAUCCUUGUCUAUAGGUCAUCUGACCUCCCUUGUAUCCUUAUCACUGGGAAUAUUCCCUGAUCUGUGCUUUCUUGAAGGCUUGCCUUUCCUGCAAUUUCACGAAGUACAUUUGACAGAUGUCCCGAAUCUCGAUGUGAAGUGCAUUUCACAGUUUCGGGUCGAGAAAUAUCUCUAUAUUAGCAGCCCCAUAAUGCUCAACCACAUGCUCUCGGCUGAAGGUUUUACAGUUCCACCAUUUCUGUCUCUUGAAAGAUGCAAGGAGCCAUCCGUUUCAUUUGAAGAAUCAGCAGAUUUCACACCUGUUAAGUGCCUGAGGUUACGUGAUUGCGAGAUGAGUUCCCUACCAAGAAAUCUGAAGUGCUUCUCCAACCUGGCGAAACUCGAAAUCCACAUGUGUCCCAAUAUAUCAUCUUUACCAGAUCUGCCAUCCUCCCUUCAGCACAUAGUUGUGUGGAAUUCUGAAGUAUUGCAGAAGAGCUGCCGAGCACCUGACGGGGAAAGCUGGCCAAAGAUUGAGCAUAUCCGCUGGAAGAGAUUCACAGAAUUUCCAUAGUCACAAAUAUAAAGAAAAAAGGUAA